AAGCCGUUUCCGCUCCAAGACCAGAGAAAGGAAAGGAAAGAGCCUUCUCUCCUGAGGAAAUGUGCGGCUCUGGAGCGAAUGCCAUCCAGUUCCUGACUCAGCACCCUGAUUUCCAUCUGGGCGUUCACCCCUCCCUCACACAACCCCUGUGCUGGAAGGGAAGCUGACUUCACACCCAGUUCCAAGAAUGGGGCUUGACUGACUUAAGGCUAUCGACACGGCCACCCCACCCCACGAGUGGCCAGGGAUGGACAUAGAACCUAAUUAGUGUUACUCAAAGACAAAGGCACAUUUCCUUGAGGAUCCUGGAGAAAACGACUUCAUUCUUCCUUAGAAGCUACUUGAGGGACAUUCUCGUCUCUUUGGAUAUGAGCAAGGACAUCGCAGCGCUGAAAGCUACUUGCAGCCAUCUUGUGGCCACUUGGAGAAAAUACAUGUUGUGUAACGCAGAGAGGAGAAAUGAAAAGCCUCCGGGGUCUUUGCUGCCCUUGAGUUGCUGAAUCAAGUCUUGACUGAAGCCUGAUAUCUUUAGGCUUUUCAGAAUGAAAUGGUAUGGAACAGUGUAAUGAGCAAUAGAAAUAUGGAACCAAGAAGCAAUUAUAUCUUCAAAGGAGCAAAAUGAGAGCAAAUAAAAGGCCUUGCACAAGUUAGCAUACAAACAGGCAGAUCAGAACAUCAUUUACAGAGUCCAAAUACAUGCCUGUUGGUUAUAUCUGUAAAUUAUCUUUCACAAACAUCAUGUUAUAUCUCUGGAGACUCAUUUCUGGGUUAUAAUAAAAAUCAGAUUUCUCAAGAGGCCCUAAAACAUCUCAAAUUCAGUUUUGACACUAUUGAGUACCUCUAAUCUGUAGUCAUUGUGCCGGGCACUAGGGAAGCAAGAUAAAUUGGGCAUAGUGUCUACCUUCUAAGUGCUUACAGUCUAGUUAAGAAGACAGAGCUAUGCGCAAAUAACUAUAAUGUAAUAUGUGCUGGGUAACAGAAAAUGGCACAUUUAAUUCUAAUAAAUUCACAUUUAUUUGAAACGAUAGGAGAAAGUUUUACAAGGAGAUAGAACCGAAGCCAUGCAGUGCAAGAAAAGCUGGGACCAGCUAGACUGUAUGGAGGCUAAGUCUUCAAUCAUUCUCUGACAAAAGUGCCCAAGAGCUCCUUCAGGGUAGAUGGGAAUCAGAAUUCAGCUCCCUGCCUGAAACUUGGGACAGAGCCAAAGGUCUCCACAAGUGAACUGGGGCUAAGACAGCUCUAAGUUGUCAGAAUCUUUCUACUUGGAGGAAUAGAGAGCAAUGAUUCUUUUUUUUUUUUUUUUUUUUUUUUUUUUGAGAUGGAGUCUCACUCUGUUGCCCAGGCUGGAGUGCAGUGGCAUGAUCUGGCUCACUGUAACCUCUGCCUCCCGGGUUCAAACAAUUCUCCUGCCUCAGCCUCUUGAGUAGCUGGGAUUACAGGUGCCUGCCACCACACCCAGCUAAUUUCUUUCUUUCUUUUCUUUUUUUUUUUUUUUUUGUAGUUUUAGUAGAGGUGGGGUUUAAUCAUGUUGGCCAGGCUGGUCUUAAACUCCUGACCUCAGGUGACCCCCCUGCCUCAGCCUCCCAAAGUGCUGGAAUUACAGGUGUAAGCCCACCAUACCUGGCCAGAAAGCAAUGAUUCUCAUAUAAAAACAGGAAUUGGACCUUUGCUGUGCAUAAGUAUUAUAUCCAAAAAUGGUGCUAUAUAAUAGAGCAAAAUGCCUAAAUCCUUAUUUGAAGAUCUGGUUCAAAACUGUACAUCUCAGACAACCAGACUGAGGUAACAAUGAAACCAUGCAACAGGAAGGGGAAAACAUGAAAAAAAUUCCUAUUCAUGAUCAGUUUUCAUACAAAAAUUACAAAGCACAUAAUGACAUACAUAAUAAUGAGAGCUGAUUGGCAAAUCCAAUAAAUAGAAUAAAUCACACCUAAGGAAAUAGAAAUAAUGGAGAACGUACCAAGGUGUUUAACACAAGUUUGUUUACAAUCCUCAAAGAGAUAAAGAAAUAGCAUUCUUUUUUGGCAUGAGGGGUCUGUCUCUCCAUUUAUUUCUAAUAAUGUUUAGUUCAUAUAUCUGGGUAGAAUAGCAUUCUUACAAUAAACUGACAAUAAGUCAUUAAUGAAGGCAUAUAUAAAAACUGAACUAAAAAUUAUUGAAAUUACAAAAUUGAGUAAAAAACUUAGUAUAUAUAAUUAAAUAGGCAAGAUAAGGUAAAAGAAAAUCAGCAUAUUGGAAAAGAAAACUAAAUAAAUUUGAUGGAAGCUGAGUAAAUACCAAUUCAAUUUUCUCUUCUUGGGCACAUAAGAAAAUCAUAUUUUCUGGAUGUCCUUGUAAUGAGAUUGGGGUCAUGUGAUUGGAAUAUGGAUGAAAGUAAUGCAUAUAGCUUUUAGUUCUGGCCACAAAACAUCCUGGGUGAUCAUCUCCUUCUUUGGAGGUCAUGAAGACCACAGGUUGAUGAUGGUAGCAUCACAAGGUGAAAGGAAGUUAAAUCUCUGAGCCAUGAGAGGAAAUGUUUCCAAAGAGCCCCCAGUCUACGUCAAACUGUGGCAUAGGCAAGAAAUAAACUUUGAAUGAUGUAAAACAAGAUAACUACAUAGAAAAAUGAAAAUGAAGUUAUAGAAGAUCAACUGAGAAGCUCCAACAUAUGUAUAAUUGUUGCUCCUGAUAGAGAGGAUAGUUAAAAUGGGGAGAGAAAAUACUAUAAGGGAUAAGGGACUGAGAAACUUCCAGAAAUAAAAAAAGACAUAAAUCCCUAGAUUUUUUUUUGAAAUUCUGUUUUCUAGUUUAUUCUCUAUUCAUUUUUAAAAUGUGGAUUUGGUGCACCAAAUUGAUUUUAUGAUACAUUGAUGAAUGGCAACUUGCAGUUUGAGAAAUAUUAGUGUAGGUAACACUUCAUCUGCCAUCCCCCACCACCCUUGUUUUCUGAUUUUCUGUUUGUAUUUAUUGAAUGCUUCAAACUAGGGGAGGAAGGAGGAGUUUCUUUUUUUUUGUUUUGUUUUUUUUUUGAGAUGGAGUCUCGCUUUGUCACCCAAGCCCAGGCUGGAGUGUUGUGGUGCGAUCUCGGCUCACUGCAAGCUCUGCCUCCUGGGUUCAUGCCAUUUGGAAGGAGGAGUUUUGAUUGGGAGAUUGAGCAAGAAAGAGAGUGCUACAGCAGGGAUGGAGCACAGAAGAAACCAUAUUCUGCCUAUUUUUUGUCCAGCCCCUUGGACUUGCCUUGAGCUCCUAUAAGAAGAAACUGACCAGACUGUUCACAAGAAAAUGUAUACAGAUGGUCCUCGGCAGAUGAUGAGGUAACAGCCCAAUAACCCAUCAUAAGUUGAGAAUAUCAUAAGUCCAAAAUAAAUUUAAUGCACCUAAUGUAUCAAACAUCAUAGUUUAGCCUAGCCUACCUUAAAUAUGCUCAGAACUCUUUCAUUAGCCAAAAACUGGGCAACAUCAUCAAACACAAAGCCAAUUUUGUAACAAUAAAAAUAAAAGAUCAAAAUUCAAAAUUUGAAGUACAGUUUCUACUGAAUGCAUAUAACAUUUGCACCAUCAUAAAGUCCAAACAUUGUAAGUCAAACAUAAGUUGGGGUUCGGGCAUGGUGGCUCACUCCUGUAAUCCCAGCACUUUGGGAGGCUGAGGUGGGCAGAUCACUUGAGGUCAGGAGGUUGAGGCCAGCCUUGCCAACAUGGCUAACAUACAAAAUACAAAAAUUAGCUGGGCAUGGUGGCACACGCCUGUAAUCCCAGCUACUCAGGAAGCUGAGGCGGGAGAAUUACUUGAACCCGGAAUGUGGAGGUUGCAGUGAGCCAAGAUCUUGCCACUGUACUCCAACCUGGGCUCCAGAGAGAGACUCCAUCUCAAAAAAAUAAAAUAAAAAUAAGUUGGGGAUCAUCUGUAAACUUCAGGCACAAACAAGGCUACUUAAGGGUCUAGAUCAGGGGUCUACAAACUACAACCCUUGGGCCUAAUCUAUCCAUCCAUCUGUUUUUAUAAAUAAAGUUUUAUUGGAACACAAACACGCACAUUUGUUACAUACUGUCUAUAGCUGCUUCUGCUACAACUGCAGAGUUGAGUAGCUGCAAUUAAGACUGUAUAACCCACAAAGCCAGAAAUAUUUGCUAUCUGGGCCUUGACAGGAAAAGUUUACCAAUCCCUGGAAUAAAUGAAAAGUGUUUCUUACCACUCUGGGAGGAAACCAGGAUGGCUCUGAGGCAUCUAAAGCAGAGUGUUAGGCAUGGGCAGUAUCCUUCUCAAAAGAGGGCAUAUUGGUCCCUUUCCAGCAUCCUCAGGCUGGGCUCAGGGGCCCCAGCAUCACAGCCUGAGCAGGAGAGCCUCAACAGGGAGAUUCUGGGUAGGGACUGCUGGUGCAGGUACACUACUGCCCUUGGAAGGACCUGGGAGCACUUAGGGUGUUUCUGGGACUAUGAAGAUGAGGGCUGUUGAGUCAGCUGACACUGGGAUUUCAUUUUCAUUCUUGUGCCUGGUGCAUGAAAGAAAGAUGCUUGGAGAGUGCUAAAUGUUUGCUAGAGAUUUCUUAAAUCAAAAAGGAAUUGGCAGCAUGUGGUAUAGAAACUGAGUUGUAUCACAGCCUCUCUCAAAGGCAAUGCCAGUAAAGAGUCCAGUGCCUGUAGCCGAGAACAGGAAUCCUCUCUCCUGAUUGGAGAAUAAGCCAUCUUUUCUCAGCUGCUUUGGCAACUAAUAUUAACGAUGAUGCGUAUAAUAAUAAUGAUUGUAACUAACAUUUACUGAAUGUUUAUCAAGCACCAUGCAAUAUUCUAGGUCCUUUACAUGUAACAAUUCACUUUAUUUUAUUUUAUUUAUUAUUUAUUUAUUAUUUUACUUUUUUCGAGACAGCAUCGCACUCUGUCUGGAACACAGUGGUGCGAUCUCAGUUCAUUGCAACCUCCGCCUCCCGGGCUCAAGCCAUCCUCCCACUUCAGCCUCCUGAGUAGCUGGGACCACAGGCAUAUGCCGCCACACCUAGCUAAUUUUUUUGUAUUUUUAAUACAGACAGGGUUUUUGCAUGUUCCCCAGGCCAGUCUCGAACUUCUGAGCUCAAGCAAUCUGUCUGCCUCAGCCUCCCAAAGCGCUGGGAUUACAGGCAUGAGCCACAGUGCCUGGCCACAAUUCAC
rnacentral:lncRNA from 10 species